ACGGUUUCGGCUGUCACUUGCAGAUGGACCCGCGGCGCAUUAGCUAGUUGGUGGGGUAAUGGCUCACCAAGGCGACGAUGCGUAGCCGACCUGAGAGGGUGAUCGGCCACACUGGGACUGAGACACGGCCCAGACUCCUACGGGAGGCAGCAGUAGGGAAUCUUCCGCAAUGGACGAAAGUCUGACGGAGCAACGCCGCGUGAGUGAUGAAGGUUUUCGGAUCGUAAAGCUCUGUUGUUAGGGAAGAACAAGUGCGAGAGUAACUGCUCGCACCUUGACGGUACCUAACCAGAAAGCCACGGCUAACUACGUGCCAGCAGCCGCGGUAAUACGUAGGUGGCAAGCGUUGUCCGGAAUUAUUGGGCGUAAAGGGCUCGCAGGCGGUUUCUUAAGUCUGAUGUGAAAGCCCCCGGCUCAACCGGGGAGGGUCAUUGGAAACUGGGAAACUUGAGUGCAGAAGAGGAGAGUGGAAUUCCACGUGUAGCGGUGAAAUGCGUAGAGAUGUGGAGGAACACCAGUGGCGAAGGCGACUCUCUGGUCUGUAACUGACGCUGAGGAGCGAAAGCGUGGGGAGCGAACAGGAUUAGAUACCCUGGUAGUCCACGCCGUAAACGAUGAGUGCUAAGUGUUAGGGGGUUUCCGCCCCUUAGUGCUGCAGCUAACGCAUUAAGCACUCCGCCUGGGGAGUACGGUCGCAAGACUGAAACUCAAAGGAAUUGACGGGGGCCCGCACAAGCGGUGGAGCAUGUGGUUUAAUUCGAAGCAACGCGAAGAACCUUACCAGGUCUUGACAUCCUCUGACAACCCUAGAGAUAGGGCUUUCCCUUCGGGGACAGAGUGACACGGUGUGCAUGGUUGUCGUCAGCUCGUGUCGUGAGAUGUUGGGUUAAGUCCCGCAACGAGCGCAACCCUUGAUCUUAGUUGCCAGCAUUUAGUUGGGCACUCUAAGGUGACUGCCGGUGACAAACCGGAGGAAGGUGGGGAUGACGUCAAAUCAUCAUGCCCCUUAUGACCUGGGCUACACACGUGCUACAAUGGACAGAACAAAGGGCUGCGAGACCGCAAGGUUUAGCCAAUCCCAUAAAUCUGUUCUCAGUUCG
rnacentral:rRNA from 1 species